rnacentral:rRNA from 1 species
GACGAAGGUGGCGAGCGUUGUUCGGAAUCACUGGGCUUAAAGCGCACGUAGGCGGUCCUUCAAGUGCCUUGUGAAAUCCCUCGGCUCAACCGAGGAAUUGCUUGGUAGACUGUUGGACUUGAGGCAGGUAGGGGCGAGUGGAACUCUUGGUGGAGCGGUGGAAUGCGUAGAUAUCAAGAGGAACGCCGAUGGUGAAGACAACUCGCUGGGCCUGUCCUGACGCUGAGGUGCGAAAGCCAGGGGAGCAAACGGG